rnacentral:rRNA from 1 species
UACGUAGGGUGCAAGCGUUGUCCGGAAUUAUUGGGCGUAAAGAGCUCGUAGGCGGUCUGUCGCGUCUGCUGUGAAAACUCGGGGCUUAACCCCGGGCCUGCAGUGGGUACGGGCAGACUAGAGUGCGGUAGGGGAGACUGGAAUUCCCGGUGUAGCGGUGAAAUGCGCAGAUAUCGGGAAGAACACCCGUGGCGAAGGCAGGUCUCUGGGCCACUACUGACGCUGAGAAGCGAAAGCAUGGGGAGCGAACAGG